rnacentral:rRNA from 1 species
AUUGAACGCUGGCGGCAGGCCUAACACAUGCAAGUCGAGCGGAUGAAGGGAGCUUGCUCCUGGAUUCCGCGGCGGACGGGUGAGUAAUGCCUAGGAAUCUGCCUGGUAGUGGGGGAUAACGUCCGGAAACGGGCGCUAAUACCGCAUACGUCCUGCGGGUGCAAGUUGGGGAUCUUCGGACCUCACGCUCUCAGAUGAGCCUAGGUCGGAUUAGCUAGUUGGUGGGGUAAAGGCCUACCUAGGCGACGAUCCGUAACUGGUCUGAUAGGAUGAUCAGUCACACUGGAACUGGGACACGGUCCAGACUCCUACGGGAGGCAGCAGUGGGGAAUAUUGGGCAGUGGGCGAAAGCCUGAUCCAGCCAGGCCGCGUGUGUGAAGAAGGUCUUCGGAUUGUAAAGACGGUUAAGUUGGGAGGAAGGGCAGUAAGUUAAUACGUUGCUGUUGUGACGGUACCAAGAGAAGAAGCACCGGCUAACUUCGUG